UACAGAGGUCUCAAGCGUUGUUCGGAAUCACUGGGCGUAAAGGGUGCGUAGGCGGCGAGGAAAGUCAGAUGUGAAAUCCGAGGGCUCAACCCUCGAAUAGCAUCCGAUACUUCCCCGCUCGAGAUUUGUAGAGGAGUCUGGAACUCUCGGUGUAGCAGUGAAAUGCGUGGAUAUCGAGAAGGACGCUCGUAGCGAAGGCGAGGCUCUGGGCAAGUUCUGACGCUGAGGCACGAAGGCUAGGGGAGCAAACGGG
rnacentral:rRNA from 1 species